ensembl:rRNA 5S_rRNA 5S ribosomal RNA
GGUUAGUGCAUACUUUUCUUUAAGAGAACUCUAAUCUUGGAAGCUAAGCUAACAAGGGUCUGGCCCAGUUAGUACUUGGAUGGGAGACUGCCUGUAAAAAUAAGAUAGCUCUGAUCU